CAAUACUGAGAAAACUGUUUUGUUUAAAAUGAUAGGAUUAAACAAUGAGGCUUUUAUGAAAAAUAGCCAACAACCCCCCCCCCCUAUCCAAAAUGUGCAUGUACUUGGUAGGUUCUGUUAUAACAUUGUAGUGAGAUUGCCAAUACAUUCAAUGUAUUGACCCCCUAGUGGCUGCAACGUUUAAUGUUGCAAGUGUUACCGGUGAAGAAUGAGGUACGAUUUGUAGGGUGUAACAUCCCAAAAUUUCAAACUUUUACAUGUGCAUUGCAUCCAUAAGCAUCAUGCCACAAUUGCAUGUUUGAAUUCAAAUUCGAAUCUCAGAAAGGCUUUAAAAGUUUUUAUUUCAAUUUAAACCUUAGGAUUUACACCCAUUUGAGCUUUGGAUCUUCAAACCAAUAGGGUUUAUUUAUAAAAGGGAUUUAAUGCAUAUAUAAGCUAUCCCAUAAUUUUUGGACAAUUAUUUGGAGUUGAAAAAGUAUUUUAUUUAAAUAGUUAUAUAGCUCUAAAGGCAUUUAUAGGACAAAUGUAUUUUUAUGUAUUUUAUUUUGAGGGGAAAUUACUCCCAAAAGUUGAAUCAUGGUAAAACAUGAUUUUACAAAUUUCCUGGAAUUCAUUUGGACCAAUUUGGAGUUCAAAAUCAAAAGAUAUCAAAGAAUUCAGAAAAACAGAAAAAGAAAAGGGCUAAAAGAAAAAAAAAGGAAAACCGGACCGGCCCGGCCAAAUUGGGCCGAACCGGCCCAGUUCCGCGCGCUCGAGCCGAACUGACAGGCUCGGUCCGCGCGCGCGCCCGCAUCGAGCCGCUGACAGGCGGGGCCCGCCUGUCAAGGUCGUCUUCCUCGUAAGGAAGGCGCUCGCGUUUGCCGCGCCGCUUGCCGUUUUCGCCGCCGCGCGCUCACCGCCGGAAACUCCGCGCUCCGUCCCUAUCUCGCCGCCCCGAGUGCCUCCAUUUAAACCCCACGACCUGCUCUUCUUUUCCCCUCUGACUGCCCUCGCUAUCACGCCGCCAGGCCGCCCUAAUUCCACGCUGAAGAGCUCCGCCGCCGCCGCC
rnacentral:lncRNA from 1 species